UGUAGAGUGGGUAUCCUGGCAGACAGAUCAAUAGGUGUCCCGAGAGCAGGAGACGUGUGAAGCUCACGCAGGGCACAGGCCUCAGGAGCAGGAGCCCAGAUUCCAUCCAGCUUGAGUUAUAGAGGAAAUGGAACUUGGACCUAGCAGGUGUCAAGGCCCAGGGGCUCCGGAGGCCACUAGAACAGGAGCUGAAGGCAGGACAUGGCCACCGAAUAAAGCCUGUUAGUAGACCUGAGAUCAAGGUCAGAGAAGGACUAGCCAGCCUGGCUCAGGGACAAAUCCCCCAAGCCAUUGAACUUAAAAUUUCCCCAUCUUAGGAAAGGGUCUACCUAGAGACUGCAGAAGAGAUGAGCCUACAUGAAGAUAUUCAAGGAGACCCAGGGAAGGUGUCUAAGAGGCUGUGAAAGCAUGAAGUCACACGGGCCAUGGCUGUCAGCAGAGGAGUUUAUGGCUAAAAACAUCUGGAGGAAAAUGGGCCCUGCCAGAGCGCGCGCAGCCGCAGCCCACCCCUCCUCCUCCGGCACCUGAAAUCCUGUCCCCUUCCGCCCAUUUACGACUGUUUGCUGUGGAAACGGCUUGCGGAGCGGCCCCGAGGGAGCUAGUGGGAGAGCACAGUUCACGAUGGAGCCCA
rnacentral:lncRNA from 1 species